CGGUAUACCAGCUCUCCGAGUGGUGGGGAUGUUUAUUGGGCCUAAAGCAUUCGUAGCCUGCUUGGCAAGUCCUCCGUUAAAUCCAACGAUUCAAUCGUUGGGCUGCGGGGGAUACUGUCCGGCUAGGGGGCGGGAGAGGCCGACGGUAUCCCCGGGGUAGGGGUGAAAUCCUAUAAUCCCGGGAGGACCACCAGUGGCGAAGGCUGUCGGCUAGAACGCGCUCGACGGUGAGGGAUGAAAGCUGGGGGAGCGAACCGGAUUAGAUACCCGGGUAGUCCCAGCUGUAAACGAUGCAGGCUAGGUGUUGGCGCGGCUACGUGCCGCUCCAGUGCCGCAGGGAAGCCGUUAAGCCUGCCGC
rnacentral:rRNA from 1 species